UAAUACGAAGGGGGCUAGCGUUGCUCGGAAUCACUGGGCGUAAAGGGCGCGUAGGCGGCCGAUCAAGUCGGGGGUGAAAUCCCAGGGCUCAACCCUGGAAUUGCCUUCGAUACUGGUCGGCUCGAGAGUGGAAGAGGUAAGUGGAACUCCGAGUGUAGAGGUGAAAUUCGUAGAUAUUCGGAAGAACACCAGUGGCGAAGGCGGCUUACUGGUCCAUUUCUGACGCUGAGGCGCGAAAGCGUGGGGAGCAAACAGG
rnacentral:rRNA from 1 species